rnacentral:rRNA from 1 species
ACGCUCUAUAAUGCAGUCGAGCGGACAGAAGGGAGCUUGCUCCCGGAUGUUAGCGGCGGACGGGUGAGUAACACGUGGGUAACCUGCCUGUAAGACUGGGAUAACUCCGGGAAACCGGAGCUAAUACCGGAUAGUUCCUUGAACCGCAUGGUUCAAGGAUGAAAGACGGUUUCGGCUGUCACUUACAGAUGGACCCGCGGCGCAUUAGCUAGUUGGUGAGGUAACGGCUCACCAAGGCGACGAUGCGUAGCCGACCUGAGAGGGUGAUCGGCCACACUGGGACUGAGACACGGCCCAGACUCCUACGGGAGGCAGCAGUAGGGAAUCUUCCGCAAUGGACGAAAGUCUGACGGAGCAACGCCGCGUGAGUGAUGAAGGUUUUCGGAUCGUAAAGCUCUGUUGUUAGGGAAGAACAA